UUUUUCUUUUUUCUUUUUUUUUGGUUUGGAUAUAGAGAGAGUGAGAGAGACAGUGAGAAGAGGAUCGUGUGGAAAUGAGGAUCUUAGAGAUGGAUUGGAUAGAUAAAGAGGAGAAAGGAGCUAAACCACCCGCCUACUUCUGGCCUCUAUUUUCUCUCGUUUUCGUCUUCGUUGCUUGGUUUCGUUUGUGUUUGGGUGAUGAUGUAGCUUACUACGUCUCUG
rnacentral:misc_RNA from 1 species